rnacentral:rRNA from 1 species
ACGUAGGGGGCGAGCGUUGUCCGGAUUGACUGGGCGUAAAGCGCACGCAGGCGGAUGCGCGCGUGGGGUGUGAAAUCUGGCCGCUUAACGGCCAGGCGCCAUCCCAUACGGCGCGUCUGGAGUGAUGCAGAGGUCGAUGGAAUUGCCGGUGUAGUGGUGAAAUGCGUAGAGAUCGGCAGGAACACCCAGGGGGAAACCAGUCGACUGGGCAUCUACUGACGCUGAGGUGCGAGAGCGUGGGGAGCGAACCGGA